rnacentral:rRNA from 1 species
UAUGUAGGGUGCGAGCGUUGUCCGGAAUUAUUGGGCGUAAAGGGCUCGUAGGCGGUCUGUUGCGUCGGGAGUGAAAACUCAGGGCUUAACCCUGAGCCUGCUUCCGAUACGGGCAGACUAGAGGUAUGCAGGGGAGAACGGAAUUCCUGGUGUAGCGGUGAAAUGCGCAGAUAUCAGGAGGAACACCGGUGGCGAAGGCGGUUCUCUGGGCCUUACCUGACGCUGAGGAGCGAAAGCGCGGGGAGCAAUCCGG